rnacentral:rRNA from 1 species
UCAGGACGAACGCUGGGCGGCGUGCCUAAUACAUGCAAGUCGAACGAACUCUGGUAUUGAUUGGUGCUUGCAUCAUGAUUUACAUUUGAGUGAGUGGCGAACUGGUGAGUAACACGUGGGAAACCUGCCCAGAAGCGGGGGAUAACACCUGGAAACAGAUGCUAAUACCGCAUAACAACUUGGACCGCAUGGUCCGAGCUUGAAAGAUGGCUUCGGCUAUCACUUUUGGAUGGUCCCGCGGCGUAUUAGCUAGAUGGUGGGGUAACGGCUCACCAUGGCAAUGAUACGUAGCCGACCUGAGAGGGUAAUCGGCCACAUUGGGACUGAGACACGGCCCAAACUCCUACGGGAGGCAGCAGUAGGGAAUCUUCCACAAUGGACGAAAGUCUGAUGGAGCAACGCCGCGUGAGUGAAGAAGGGUUUCGGCUCGUAAAACUCUGUUGUUAAAGAAGAACAUAUCUGAGAGUAACUGUUCAGGUAUUGACGGUAUUUAACCAGAAAGCCACGGCUAACUACGUGCCAGCAGCCGCGGUAAUACGUAGGUGGCAAGCGUUGUCCGGAUUUAUUGGGCGUAAAGCGAGCGCAGGCGGUUUUUUAAGUCUGAUGUGAAAGCCUUCGGCUCAACCGAAGAAGUGCAUCGGGAAACUGGGAAAGCUGAGUGCAGAAGAGGACAGUGGAACUCCCAUGUGUAGCGGUGAAAUGCGUAGAUAUAUGGAAGAACACCAGUGGCGAAGGCGGCUGUCUGGUCUGUAACUGACGCUGAGGCUCGAAAGUAUGGGUAGCAAACAGGAUUAGAUACCCUGGUAGUCCAUACCGUAAACGAUGAAUGCUAAGUGUUGGAGGGUUUCCGCCCUUCAGUGCUGCAGCUAACGCAUUAAGCAUUCCGCCUGGGGAGUACGGCCGCAAGGCUGAAACUCAAAGGAAUUGACGGGGGCCCGCACAAGCGGUGGAGCAUGUGGUUUAAUUCGAAGCUACGCGAAGAACCUUACCAGGUCUUGACAUACUAUGCAAAUCUAAGAGAUUAGACGUUCCCUUCGGGGACAUGGAUACAGGUGGUGCAUGGUUGUCGUCAGCUCGUGUCGUGAGAUGUUGGGUUAAGUCCCGCAACGAGCGCAACCCUUAUUAUCAGUUGCCAGCAUUAAGUUGGGCACUCUGGUGAGACUGCCGGUGACAAACCGGAGGAAGGUGGGGAUGACGUCAAAUCAUCAUGCCCCUUAUGACCUGGGCUACACACGUGCUACAAUGGAUGGUACAACGAGUUGCGAACUCGCGAGAGUAAGCUAAUCUCUUAAAGCCAUUCUCAGUUCGGAUUGUAGGCUGCAACUCGCCUACAUGAAGUCGGAAUCGCUAGUAAUCGCGGAUCAGCAUGCCGCGGUGAAUACGUUCCCGGGCCUUGUACCCCCCCCCCUUCACCCCAUGAGAGUUUGU